AUGAUAAUAGAUAUAGGAAGAUGUGGUGUGAGUGCCAAUGAGACAACUCUCCAUACAAAUAACAAUUUAAAAAGUAAACCAUUAUAGGUUAAAGUACGGCCUUCAACACGGAGCCUUAGCUCACACCGAACAACAAGCUAUAAAGGGCCCCAAAAUUACUAGUGUAAAACCAUUCAAACGGGAAAACCAACGGUCUAAUCUAUAUAAACAAAACGAGAAACGAGAAACACGUAUAUAUUACAUAAACAAACGACAACUACUGUACAUCAGAUUCCUGACUUAGGACAGGUGCAAACAUUUGCAGCGGG
rnacentral:lncRNA from 1 species